GAGCGAACGCGUGGCGGCAGGCUUAACACAUGCAAGUCGAGCGGGCGUAGCAAUACGUCAGCGGCAGACGGGUGAGUAACGCGUGGGAACAUACCUUUUGGUUCGGAACAACACAGGGAAACUUGUGCUAAUACCGGAUAAGCCCUUACGGGGAAAGAUUUAUCGCCGAAAGAUUGGCCCGCGUCUGAUUAGCUAGUUGGUGAGGUAAUGGCUCACCAAGGCGACGAUCAGUAGCUGGUCUGAGAGGAUGAUCAGCCACAUUGGGACUGAGACACGGCCCAAACUCCUACGGGAGGCAGCAGGUGGGAAUAUUGGACAAUGGGCGCAAGCCUGAUCCAGCCAU
rnacentral:rRNA from 1 species